AUUGAACGCUGGCGGCAGGCCUAACACAUGCAAGUCGAACGAGUGGCGGACGGGUGAGUAAUGUCUGGGAAACUGCCUGAUGGAGGGGGAUAACUCCUGGAAAAGGUAGCUAAUACCGCAUACCAUCAGCUGUGCCCAGAUGGGAUUAGCUAGUUGGUGGGGUAAAGGCUCACCAAGGCGACGAUCCCUAGCUGGUCUGAGAGGAGGACCAGCCACACGGGAACUGCGACACGGUCCAGCCUCCUACGGGAGGAAGCAGUGGGGAAUAGUGAACAAUGGGCGCAAGCCUGAUGCAGCCAUGCCGCGGGUAUGAAGAAGGCCUUCGGGUUGUAAAGUACUUUCAGCGGGGAGGCGGUACCCGCAGAAGAAGCACCGGCUAACUCCGUGCCAGCAGCCGCGGUAAUUC
rnacentral:rRNA from 1 species